GACGAACGCUGGCGGCGUGCCUAAUACAUGCAAGUCGAACGCACUCUCGUUUAGAUUGAAGGAGUUUGCUCCUGAUUGAUAAACAUUUGAGUGAGUGGCGGACGGGUGAGUAACACGUGGGUAACCUGCCCUAAAGUGGGGGAUAACAUUUGGAAACAGAUGCUAAUACCGCCUAAAACCUAACACCGCAUGGUGUAGGGUUGAAAGAUGGUUUCGGCUAUCACUUUAGGAUGGACCCGCGGUGCAUUAGUUAGUUGGUGAGGUAAGGGCUCACCAAGACCGUGAUGCAUAGCCGACCUGAGAGGGUAAUCGGCCACACUGGGACUGAGACACGGCCCAGACUCCUACGGGAGGCAGCAGUAGGGAAUCUUCCACAAUGGACGAAAGUCUGAUGGAGCAACGCCGCGUGAGUGAAGAAGGUGUUCGGAUCGUAAAACUCUGUUGUUGGAGAAGAAUGUAUCUGAUAGUAACUGAUCAGGUAGUGACGGUAUCCAACCAGAAAGCCACGGCUAACUACGUG
rnacentral:rRNA from 1 species